rnacentral:rRNA from 1 species
AUGAAUACAAGUCAGCGUUUCAGUGAUUUAUUAUGGAUGCCGCACAGCCAGCAUAAAAUAUCCAAAUCUUGGGAAAAUCCUAACAUUUGCUUGAAUGUUUGGUGUCAUCGUGUUGGCAUUCCAGUGGAUCCUCUUUGUAGCGCAGCCUUAGAGAACCUUGGUUUUUAUCAAAUUGCAAAAAUGACGAAAAUCAAUGUCGACAAAUAUUUGAUAUCAGCAUUGGUCGAGCGUUGGCGGCCUGAGAAAAAUAGUUUUCAUUUACCUGUAGGAGAAAUGACCGUUACACUACAAGACGUGAGUUGUUUGUGGGGGUUGCCUAUCCAUGGUAAACCACUUAUUGGCAAAGCUGAUGCUGCAUGGUCUGGAUGA